rnacentral:rRNA from 1 species
UACGUAGGGUGCAAGCGUUGUCCGGAAUUAUUGGGCGUAAAGAGCUCGUAGGCGGUCUGUCGCGUCUGCUGUGAAAACUCAGGGCUUAACCCUGAGCUUGCAGUGGGUACGGGCAGACUAGAGUGCGGUAGGGGAGACUGGAAUUCCUGGUGUAGCGGUGAAAUGCGUAGAGAUCCGGGAGGAAGACCGGUGGCGAAGGCGGCCUGCUGGGCAGUUACUGACGCUGAGGCGCAACAGCGGUGGGGGAGCAAACAGG